rnacentral:rRNA from 1 species
GGACUACCAGGGUUUCUAAUCCUGUUUGCUCCCCACGCUUUCGCGUCUCAGCGUCAGUACCGUCCCAGUGAGCUGCCUUCGCCAUUGGUGUUCCUCCUGAUAUCUGCGCAUUUCACCGCUACACCAGGAAUUCCACUCACCCCUUCCGGACUCUAGCUCGACAGUUUCCACCGGCUUUCCAGGGUUGAGCCCUGGACUUUUACAGCGGACUUAUCGAGCCGCCUACACGCUCUUUACGCCCAAUGAUUCCGGACAACGCUUGCCCCCUACGUAUUACCGCGGCUGCUGGCAC